rnacentral:rRNA from 1 species
GAUGAACGCUGGCGGCGUGCCUAAUACAUGCAAGUCGAGCGAACGGACGAGAAGCUUGCUUCUCUGAUGUUAGCGGCGGACGGGUGAGUAACACGUGGAUAACCUACCUAUAAGUCUGGGAUAACUUCGGGAAACCGGAGCUAAUACCGGAUAAUAUUUUGAACCGCAUGGUUCAAAAGUGAAAGACGGUCUUGCUGUCACUUAUAGAUGGAUCCGCGCUGGAUUAGCUAGUUGGUAAGUUAACGGCUUACCAAGGCAACGAUGCAUAGCCGACCUGAGAGGGUGAUCGGCCACACGGGAACUGAGACACGGUCCAGACUCCUGCGGGAGGCAGCAGUCGGGAAUGUUCGGCAAUGGGCGAAAGCCUGACGCAGCAACGCCGCGUGAGAGAUGAAGGUCUUCGGAUCGUAAAACUCUGUUAUUGGGGAAGAACAGAUGUGUAAGUAGCUGUGCCCAUAUUGACGGUACCUAAUCAGAAAGCAACGGCUAACUACGUG